rnacentral:lncRNA from 1 species
GAAAAAAGAAAUCUAUAAGUUGAACUGAUUCACGAAUGGGUUCUAACACUACUUUUUCUCAUUUCCACUAGAAUUUUCCUUUGGACACUGGUCCAAGAGGCAGUCAGCUCUCCGGGCGAGCGAGACCCCCGAGUUUGCCCCACCAUCAGAUUACUUGGUAGGUCAGAAAAGAGUGGGGCCUUCGAGCAGCCAGCCGUGGAGCAGACCUGGAGCAGCCCCGAGCAGACCUGGAGUGGCCCAGAGCAGCCCUGGGCAGCAGGCGGGCCAGGGCCAGGAGCCCCCUCUACAUACAUGCCACCCGCUCCUGGGCCCGGGGGCCCCCCACAGGCCCCCACACUCACUUUCGCGACUCUGGAUGACAUGAUCUCAUAUUACAAACAAGUGACAUGACCCUGGCGGUGCUGUGACUCGGGCUGUGCCUCGGGAACAGCAGGGGACAGUGGGUCUCAGGCCGAGCCGGGCCUUCAUCCUCCUGUCCCCGCUCAGAGUCACAGUGGGUCCUUGGCCCCUUACCGCCAUCUCCUUGCUGGUCCAGAGCAGCCUCCCCUGCUCCCCUCCACACCCCACUUCCCUCGAGUGAACUUGACCAUGAGUGUUUGGGGGCAGGCACGUCUGCUAUAAAACUGGAUGCUGCAGCACCUAUGGACCUGUCUGUCACCCUAUGCCCCAGCUUGGGGCCAAGGGUUUCAUUCCCCUCCUUUGUCCACAUGGGUGGGUUGGAGGCUUCACUCCCAAGGCUCAGAUCUUGGCCAGGUGGAGGAGCACAGGCCAGGAAGGCCCAGCAGGAGCAGGGAGGCAGAAGGAGCCUGGGGCUCGGUCCCUGGGGCUGGAGGCAUGGAACACAGUGCCAUUGGGCACUGAGAGGCCAGGUAGAGCAACACCCUCGUAACCCAGGAAGGUGGCUUCUGUUGUCACACUCUCCUGUCCUCCACGCCCUUGUGCACUGUGGCCAUCUGAUACAUGCGUGUUGGUGACUUCGGUGUCCUGUGGCUGCUGGGCCUGUCAGAGACAGUGUCCCUAGUUGUCACAGUCAGAGCUUUUAGCUCCUGCACUGCCACCCAAUGCCCCUCCCCGCCAGGUGUGCCUUCCAGGUCAGACUUGGGCCUGUGUGGAGGGCCAGGGCUGGCCCCUUGGCCACACUGAUGGGGUGUCAUGUGGGCAGGGCUCCAGGAGCAUGGCUCUGGACCAGGGUCCCAUCGCAGCUGUAGACAAGUAGCUGGCAGUUGGUCACUAGACCUUUGGGCUCCCCCAGCCAGCUGCAGGCUGGUGGCUCCAGAAGAACUCAGCACAAGUUUUUUAUUAUUAGAGGUUGAACUCUGCACCUUCACACUGCAUCCCUAACCUUUUUUAAAAUUUUUGAUACCAGGGUGUCUCUAAGUCACUUAAGUUUGUCCAGGCCGGCCUGGAACUUGAAUCCUCCUGCAUCAGUCACCCAGUGUGCUGGGAGUACAGGUGUGUGCCACUGUGCCCAUUCAGCACAGGUUUCCGAAGUGCCCUGAGGCGUGGAAGGGAGAGGAGUGAGGAAAGAGCACUCCCUCAGUGGCCUUGUCCCCAGCCCUGGGUAAGGAUGGCCAUCCUGGUGUGGCAGGGUCUGGACUUGUGCUUUCUCCAGUGCUCACGGCUCUAGUCUUCCCAGCAUCCAGUAGGUUUAGUUAAAGAUCCAAAUUCCUAGAAACUUGUCUCUGAGCCCCAGAGCAAGGGCUAUGUGCCAGGCCUGUUUAUCGUUCUGUUACAGGCCUCAUCAGGCUAAUAACUAAAUACACACUAAAACCCGUCAACGUAGCUUCCUUGUUUGUACAAAUUGAGCUGAUCCUGAAACUCACCUGGGUGCGCAAGGGACCCAGAGUGGCUACAUGAGCGGUAUUAGAAACAAAGCUGGGACUUGCUUCAUGGUUUUAGUAUGUCCUGCAAGGCUACUGUGGUCCAAGGCGCAUGGAGCUGGCGCAGGGGGAAGGAAUAGAGAAACCCAUGCACCUGGCCGGCAGCUGUCGGUAAGGGCGCUGGCCCCAGGUGGGGAGAGCAGUGUUUCCUGGGCAGGAGAGGGCAUUCCAGGCUUUGCUUCAGACCCUGUACAGAAUCUACACCCAGUGCACCAAGAGCUCAAAAUAAGGGUACAGGCAACAAAACCAACUGAAACAGUUCAUAGGAUAAGGAAGGAGAGACGCAAAAAAGUUGAAUACUAAAAAGACAAAAUCACUAGACUUUUAGAAUCCUAAGAAAACAUAGGAAAAAGAAAGAGGAGGCAAAUACUGAAUAGAUGAUAUGGGAAGGAUGGGAAGAGGGUGUAUUUGUAAGGAAAGCGCCCAGGGUACAGGUGGAUAGAGUAAGAAGAGGUGGAGGAGGCAGGCAGCCCUGCCCUGGGAGCAGUGAGGUUGGCCACAGUGGUCUCUUCCCUGCUGAGCUCCUAGGCAGCGGGGCGGCCUUGCACAGAUUGAGUAGAGUGUUCUCUGGCAGUUGGGAGAUGUUUCUAGAUCCAUCUCCCUUACAGUGUAAAUUUAGUUCUGUGCUUUGUGAGCCGGGAGGUCAAGGGUUCACACCUUCAGGCUCACUCACUUCCUGUGCCUCCUGGCCUGUUUUGUGUCGAAGUGCAUCCAGCAGGUGGCACUAGGGUUCACAGAAAACUCAUUUUGUUUAAAAUUGGGCAAUGAACUCUUUGUGUGAACAGAGCAUUAGAAAUAUUCACAAAGAGCAUUAGAAAUGUCCACCUGCAGAGCAGCAGCAUUUUGAAGAUCUAUUAUUUAUUGCUUUAAGUCCAUGGUCUUCUGAGAACACCAAGUUUCCUUUUGCUUUUUUUGGUUUUUUUGAGAAGACUUUUACUCUAGUCCAGGCUGGCCUUGAACUCACUAUGUAGCACAGGCUGGCCUCAAACUCAUGGCGAUCCUCCUGCUUCAGCCUCCCAAGUGCUGGGAUUACAGGCUUGUGCCGUCACCCCGCUUAUUAUAAACCUUAUAAAGAUGUGAAACGGUAUCUUCUUGUGACUUCAACUUCCGUUUCUCUAACACACAAAGGGUACUGAACAUUCAGAUCCGGCUCUGCAACAUGUCGACAGAAACCGCUAGGAGGCCUCUAGGGUCAUUUUCUGUUUUCUAGGAAUCCUAUUAAAAAGGUGAAAUUAAUUUUAUGAUACAUUGUGUUCAACCCAAUAUAUCCAAACUAGCAUUUCAACAUGCAGUGUAACUUAUUAUUGAGUUAGUUUACAUUUCUUUGAAGCACUCCACCCCAACCUAGCUCACUGUGGGGGCUAACUGUUCCCUAGGAAUAUUUGAUCUGUAUUUAGGUGUCAUAAGAUACACAGUUAAAAUAAGUAGAUCUUGGUAUAUCCAGUUGUUCUAGUCCUACCUAAACAUACUUAAAAGAUUUCCAAUAACUGAAUCCCGUAUCAAGUGUUACUUCUGUUGUUUCACUUGGCCACAAUUCCUUCCUAGUUGAGCAUUUUAACCUUGUAAUUGUAGUUUAAGAAUUUACAGUCCAUAUGAAAUGUUUUAAAUAUGUUAAACAAAAAUACCAACUUAAACUGGAAGCCAAAAGUAAAUUUAUCAGUUAUCUAAGAUUUAUAACCCGAUUUCUCCCUCUCCCAGGGGAGCUUCCCUCAAGGGAAAGAGGGAUUGAGCCCUCUCUUUAGUCUUUGGGAAAAUGGAUGAUUCUGAACAUCUUGGCACUUUUUAAAUUUUUUUUUUUUUCAGCAAGUAUAAAGUUGGUCUCUUCUUGUGCGGUUGCAACCUCCGCACUGGGGACUGGUCCUCCCUGGUUGGCAUGAGCUCCUGUUGAGCCAGAGCUGCUGGUUGGGGUGCUGGGGAUUAUAGGCUGGGGUAGGGACUCCAGAGGGUCCCAUGUGGAAGAGGGGACCAGAGAUGAGUCCUUUUGUUUCUUAUUAAGUCUCCUGGGCUUUUAGGG